rnacentral:rRNA from 1 species
UAAUACCGGAUAAGAAAGACGGAUCGCAUGAUCAGCUUUUAAAAGGCGGCGUAAGCUGUCGCUAUGGGAUGGCCCCGCGGUGCAUUAGCUAGUUGGUAAGGUAAAGGCUUACCAAGGCGAUGAUGCAUAGCCGAGUUGAGAGACUGAUCGGCCACAUUGGGACUGAGACACGGCCCAAACUCCUACGGGAGGCAGCAGCG